GCCUCCCUGGCCAUUGCCAAGGAUGAGGAGGCCAUGGAUUUGCUCUCCCGCCUCUGUGGGAAUUUCGGUUACUGGCUCGGGCUGCGCAGACGGGGCGAGCGCCUGCACUGGGGGGACGGCAGCAGCUACAGCUCCCGCGUUCCUGUCCUCGGCAAUUCCGGCUGUGUGUACCUGGCUGACAGGAGAUUCAGGAGUGGGAACUGCUCCCAUGAGCGGCCGUAUGUCUGCAGCAAGGCCCAAGCUCCCCUGUAACAGGGGCUGCACAAAGGACCUUCUCCACGCUGGGCAGUGCCAGCUUCACCUCUGAGCCCAGCACAGCGCUGUCCUUCCUCAGCUGCGCCCUGUGCCUUGCACUUCCUCUCAGGGUCACCUCAGUGCCUCUUCAUCCCCAGUGCCAGCGCUGGGCUGGGGCUGCAAAGGAAACGUCUCUGCAAUCCAUCCUGCCACCGAUGCUGCCUGCAGUGAGUGUAUUGCCCUCAUGACACAAUAAGAUCCAAUGGGAAAUUCAAAUCCCCCUGUGGUCUUGGAAUUCAUCGUAAACUAGUGGCCAGAAUGGGACACUUUUGGACUGUCUUCGGAAGAGGAGGAAGAAUUGCUGACACAUGCGGAACAGGAAUCCCACUUUUGGCAUCCGACACCCUACUGUGGGGAAUGGUCUGUCUGUCUGUCCAGGUUGACUAUAUGAUGCUUUUAGCCCCAAUCAUCUUGUUCUGUUUAUGCUGAAUAAUAAGUUUUGCGUGUUUAAGACAUGUUCCAGAGAGUGAAGAGGCGAGAGAAGAAGCGCACAUUUUGUUUUCAGAUACUGCUCUCACUCCUCCACAUUCCUGCUCCUGGACUGUGUUUUCUGCAGAUGGACACACAAUGGGAUCGAGCUCUCCUUGUUUAGCUAGCUGAGGCAAGGAAGUUCCCUGGACUCUGUUUUUUUGCCUUUUUCCCUUUUUUCGGACCUGUUUGAACCUGCUCUGGACUGAACACCCAGAAGAGCAGCAGCAGCUCACACCUGCGGCCUGCCGGGCUGGGCCUGGGGCACAACAUUUCCAGCACCAGAGGGACUGAUGGGAGACUCAGUGAGCUGAACUGCAGCCUGGAGGAGGACUUUCUCAGUUUGUCAUC